CGGGUGGGUUCUGGGUUGUCUCGGCGUGGUGAGGGGUGGAGCUGGAGAGAGAGAGGGGCGCUGGGAAGAGGCGGCGGCGGUGGGUGCGGCCACUAAGGCCGUCGAAAGCCGCUAAGGCCGACGACGGCUGCUGCGGUUCGUGUGAGCGUACUAGCGGAGGCAGGCGAGGCAGAAGGGAAGGCUCGUCUAAGUAGCGAGCGCAGGAGAUGGCCAGUGGGCGCUGGCAGGGGAUUCGAUCCCAAAGCCGGUGGCGCAGCGGCCGCACCGAGGCCGCCGAGUCUAGCUCGUGCGGUUACAGCGGCAGCAAAGCGAACGCGACCUUGUUGUUUCCCUUCCGGUACCUGCUGCGGCGAGGUCGGGAAGAGGCUGCGGUAGUUCGUCAUCGUCGUUGAGCUACGUCCCUGUUCCCUCUCCUCCUCAGGACGAAGGGGCCGCACGUAGGAGAGAGAGCCUUGCUGUGGGUUGGAGUUCGCUCUCGUCCGUAGGAGGCACCUACUACUGCUGUUGGUCCCGCAGGUGGCGGUGCUGCUGUGGGGCGUGUACCAGGUUGAGCCGAUGUUGGAGGAGAUGGCGCGCUGACGCCGGCGCCAGCACAAGCCGUAGCUGAUGUUGGAGGAGAGGUCUAGAAACCAAGUAAUAUGACUGACGUACGGUGGAGACAGUAGCGACGGGGUAGAGGGCGUGGUAGCCGUGGCGGGGAGGCGGAAGAGGAAACUACGACAUCACCUAAGAAUCUUACUUUUACAACACAUGUAGUUUUUAUAAAAUACCAGACACAAACGUUUUGGUACCAACAACUUAGUACAGAAUAUUAACAUAACCUUUAACGAUCGGAAAAACCGAUCAUAAAAAAAUCACCUAAGAAUCUUACUUUUACAACACAUGUAGUUUUUAUAAAAUACCGUA
rnacentral:rRNA from 1 species